AGUAUGUGGUUUAAUUCGAAGCAACGCGAAGAACCUUACCAGGGCUUUGACAUCCCUUGAAGCAGCUAGAGAUAGCUGUGUCCUUCGGGACAAGGAGACAGGUGCUGCAUGGCUGUCGUCAGCUCGUGUCGUGAGAUGUUGGGUUAAGUCCGCUAACGAGCGCAACCCUCGCUGUGUGUUAUAUGUGUCACACGGGACUGCCGGUCUUAAGCCGGAGGAAGGUGGGGAUGAUGUCAAGUCAGCAUGGCCUUUAUAUCCUGGGCUACACACACGCUACAAUGGCCAGCACAGUAGGUUGCUAAGCCGCGAGGUGGAGCCAAUCCAUAAAGCUGGUCUCAGUUCAGAUUGCAGGCUGCAACCCGCCUGCAUGAAGAUGGAGUUGCUAGUAACCGCAGGUCAGCUAUACUGCGGUGAAUACGUUCCCGGGGCUU
rnacentral:rRNA from 1 species